ensembl:lincRNA D6Ertd474e DNA segment, Chr 6, ERATO Doi 474, expressed
GAAGUAUAGAAUGGCUUUUCUCAUAGGACAUGUUCUUAGGAAGGGCUCAGGAGAAGCAGGAAGCCACUGCAGGUGAAAUGGAACAGAUUCAGGAUGCUUCACCGUGUGCUCCAUAAGCUACUCAUCUGAUGUUUCAUAGGAAGCAGAAGAAAUUCCCAGCAAAGUGACCUGUGUUGCAAGACUCAAAAGAGGGAGAGAGAGAGUUGGCUCAGCUGGUGAAGAGCUUGAUGGACAUGAAGACCUGAGCUUGGAUCUCCCAACAUCUUUGUGAAAGGACGGGCACAGCCCCUGAAUCUCCAGAGCUGUGACAAUGGAAGCAAUGGAUCCUCAGAGCUUGCUGGCCAGCCAACCUGCUUGAGUUCAGCUCUAGAUUCUGUGUGACCCUGACUCAAAAACUAAGGCGUGGAGUGACUGAAGAAGAGAUCUGAUGUCAACCACUUGUUCUUAUUUACACACACACACACACACUCUUAAAUAAAAAUUAAAUUAUUUGUUG